GGCGACGAGCCCUGGAACACAAGUUGGACAGUUUUUAAAGGUCCCUGCGCUCGCCAAGAGAAGGAAAUAGAUGCUCAGGAGUGAAAUACCGAGAGAAUCGGAUCUGGCGCCUCCUAACGCAGCUGGCAAGCAGGCGAAGGACCCUUCUCUCUCUCCCCAUGUGGCCUCAUGGUGUCCCCAAAGUCUGGUGGUGUCAGGAAAAGAUCCGAUGGCAGGCACCUCACUGCAAAAACAUGUUUUCCAGAAUUUGUCUGAACUCACCUACCAAGCUGCCUCACAGUCUGAUUUGGCACUGGGUCUCCAUAAUCAACCUUCUGGAAAUAUUUGUGGAAUGAACGAAGGGACCCUGAGAAAAUGAACUAUUGGAAUGAUGAGGUGGGGGAAGAGGACAAGGGAUGUCUGCAAAGGUUUCCUAGAAGGGGCCAUCCGGUACAUUGUGAAUGUUUGGAGUGUUAGCCCUUCAACCAGUCACUCUGCGUGCCUGCCUGGGGAUGCCAGUUGGGUAGAAGAUUGUCCCACCUGCCCAGAUCUGACAAAUAAACUUCUCAAGGACAGAUAAUUGGUGAUGGGGCAGGAAGCCUUAGAAAUGGGUAACCACUUCCUGAUAUGUAUCAUGCUGAUAGACAGGAACACAAAGAUGCAAUCCAUUGUAACCCUGCUUGCAACAGAAAAGGACUGAAUAUGGAGCGCCUGGGUGGCUCAGUUGGUUAAGCUUCCGACUUCAGCUUAGGUCAUGAUCUCACAGCCCCUGAGUUCGAGCCCCACGUUGGGCUCUGUGCUGGCAGCUCAGAGCCUGGAGCCUG